rfam:Triticum urartu cultivar G1812 contig73866, whole genome shotgun sequence.
GUUGUACUCCCUCCGUUCCUAAAUAUUUGUCUUUCUAGAUAUUUCAACAAGUGACUACAUACGGAGAAAAAUGAGUAAAUCUACACUCUAAAAUAUGUCCAUAUACAUCCGUAUGUAGUAGUCCAUUUGGAAUAUCUAAAAAGACAAAUAUUUAGGAACGGAGGGAGUAUAUC